AUUGAACGCUGGCGGCAUGCCUUACACAUGCAAGUCGAACGGCAGCACGGGAGCAAUCCUGGUGGCGAGUGGCGAACGGGCGAGUAAUGUAUCGGAACGUGCCCAGUCGUGGGGGAUAACGUAGCGAAAGCUACGCUAAUACCGCAUACGAUCUAUGGAUGAAAGCGGGGGACCGUAAGGCCUCGCGCGAUUGGAGCGGCCGAUAUCAGAUUAGGUAGUUGGUGGGGUAAAGGCCUACCAAGCCGACGAUCUGUAGCUGGUCUGAGAGGACGACCAGCCACACUGGGACUGAGACACGGCCCAGACUCCUACGGGAGGCAGCAGUGGGGAAUUUUGGACAAUGGGCGCAAGCCUGAUCCAGCAAUGCCGCGUGCAGGAUGAAGGCCUUCGGGUUGUAAACCGCUUUUGCACGGAGCGAAAAGGCUCUCUCUAAUACAGGGGGCUCAUGACGGUACCGUAAGAAUAAGCACCGGCUAACUACGUGCCAGCAGCCGCAGUAACAC
rnacentral:rRNA from 1 species